GCCUGAAUCUUCAACCUUUAACUAGCCCAAGGAAAGAAACUAACUCGUCUAAGUCCUGCUCCCAAAACUGGAAUAACAAAGUGAACAUGUUGUUUGUUUUUCUGUAAGGGAAAAGUGGUCUUUAAGGGAAGAUUUGAAUCUAUCUCAGGGUUUGUAGUAAGUGAUGUCAAAACCAAAGAAAGAAGCAGACAGAUCCAGGAUUGCACAGAGUGCAAUUUAUUGGGGACUUACUGACAAGCAUAGUUGUGGGCAGUAGCAAGACCAAGUGGAUGCCUCCAACUUAGGUUAGAAGGAGGAACAUAUGUAUUGUUCGGGAUAAAAAUGACUUCAUCCUGGCUGGAAUGUAUCUGGCUUUUCUUGAGCCAAUAUCAAAAGAGUUAGGCACAUUCCUAGCACCAAGUCCAGUUGCAAAGCUCCACACAUCACUUUGAUGAUUUGGUCUGAUUAUAGUUUGCUGGGAAACUAGGAAAAACCUGCUGGGGUUACUCAGGAGGGGUAAUCAUUGCAAUUAUUACUUAAGAUGGCUGCAGUCAUGUCAAACUGAAUCCAUACAGUGACCUCAGAUGGAUGAAGUGACUUCUCCAUCCUGGCUCCUUAUCUGUUAGUGGAAUUAUUAGAAAAAUUGGAAAUUCUUUGAAAGCAUUUGGUACAUUGUAGGCAUUCACAGAACAUACAGUGUGACUAUGUGAAAUUGUGUUUGGUUUUGCUUUUUUGGUACUAGGGAUUGAACCCAGGGGUGAUUAACCACUGAGCCACAUCCCCAGCGUUUUGUUUUUGUUUUGAGACAGGGUCUUAGUUGCUCAGGGCCUCACUUAGUUGGUGAGGCUGGCUUUGAACUUGUGAUUCUUGGGGCUCAGCCAUCCAUGCCGCUGGGAUUACAGACUUGUACCAUCACACCUGAUUGUAAGGAAGAUUAUGGCUCUUGAGUCCAUGCUGUGCCUUUCCCUUGUAGGGCGGGUUCAGUAAAUAUCAUAGCAGUAGAGCCAAGGUGUGCUUGGUUCUCAGGGCCCAAAGAGACUUAAUAUAUAAAUAUUUUCGGGGCUGG
rnacentral:lncRNA from 1 species